CAUCUCCACCUCCUACAGGUCAGUGUUCCUCUCUCUGCUCACUGGCAAUGCAGAACAUCACAGAACAACACUCACCAUGCUGAGGGAUUUCUCCUCUCUCCUGCUCUACUGUAGAUUUCCUCCUCCAUGUGCAGCCCUCCACACACCAAGAACUGGACUGAGAUCAGUAUUAACACUGAUCUGACUGUGGACACUGUGAGGACAGCUCUGUCUCAGCUUCAGCAGUCUCUCAAUGAGAAACUCACUCAAACACUCAAUGACAAGUUAUUGAGUUGUUAAAUACAAUUUCUACAGAACUGAAGAGGAUUCAGCAGUAUGCAGAUCACACAAUGUGUGUUUCUCUCAGUGGAUGUGACUCUGGAUCCUGAUACAGCUCAUCCCAAUCUCAUCCUGUCUGCUGAUGGAAAACAAGUGACACAUGGAGACACACGACAGGAUCUCCCUGAUACACCACAGAGGUUUAAUGAGUGUGUUAUAGUUCUGGGAAGACAAAGUUUCUCCUAAGGAAGAUUUUAUUAUAAGGUGCAGGUCAGAGGGAAAAAUAAGUGGAGUUUUGGAGUCGCCACAGAGUCCAUUAACAGGAAGGGAGACAUUACACUGAGGCCUCAGGAUGGAUUCUGGACUGUGGUACUGAGAGGAAUGAGAAUCAGUAUGAGGCUGGUGCUGAUCCCUCUGUCCCCCUCACACUGAGAG